rnacentral:rRNA from 1 species
UACGUAGGCAGCAAACGUUGUUCGGAAUUACUGGGCGUAAAGAGUGUGUAGGCGGCUUUGUAAGUCUGGUGUGAAAUCUCCCGGCUUAACUGGGAGGGUGCGCUAGAAACUGCAGAGCUCGAGUAUCGGAGAGGAAAGCGGAAUUCCUGGUGUAGCGGUGAAAUGCGUAGAUAUCAGGAGGAACACCGGUGGUGUAGACGGCUUUCUGGACGAUCACUGACGCUGAGACACGAAAGCGUGGGGAGCAAACAGG